GUGCAGCAGGCGAGAAUUUUUCUCAAUGGGGGGCAACCCUGAAGGAGCGACGCCGCGUGGAGGAUGAAGGCUUUCGGGUUGUAAACUCCUGUCAUUUGAGAACAAGUGGCCGAACCUAACUACUUCGGCCUUGAUAGUAUCAGAAGAGGAAGGGACGGCUAACUCUGUGCCAGCAGCCGCGGUAAUACAGAGGUCCCAAGCGUUGUUCGGAUUCAUUGGGCGUAAAGGGUGCGUAGGUGGCGCCGUCAGUGGGGUGUGAAAUUUCGGAGCUUAACUCCGAAACUGCAUUCCAUACUGCGGUGCUUGAGGACUGGAGAGGAGACUGGAAUUUACGGUGUAGCAGUGAAAUGCGUAGAGAUCGUAAGGAAGACCAGUGGCGAAGGCGGGUCUCUGGACAGUUCCUGACACUGAGGCACGAAGGCCAGGGGAGCAAACGGGAUUAGAUACCCGCGUAGU
rnacentral:rRNA from 1 species